GAGCAAAUUCCAAAGGACUCACUCCUUAUCAUGGCAGCUGUGGACCAUUUGUCUUCUCAGUGAGGCGGAGGUGGAUUAAAUCAGCUUACUUCACUUUGCUGAAAACCAGCUGCACCUUUCAGUAAACAGUCAAACACAACUCUAUGACCGAGCUCGAAAAGUCCUGCAGAAAAGUGCUGAGAAGGUUAAAGUCUGCCUCCACUGGGAUCACAGAACUUCUGUCUACCAAUCUGUGCGGGAUUUUCUCUUACAGUGCUUACCCAACAUCCACUCACUCAGUUUCUUUCAGUCAUCAGAAAAUCUCUCUGAUCAAACCAAGUUCUUGAUGAAUCUCAUUACUGGAGCAGCAGAGAGAGAACAGCAGACGGGAGAGAAGACACUAAAACGGCUAUCAUCAGUGUGCAAAUAUCAAACAUUUAUUUUUAAUGACAGUUACAAGGACAAGAGAUACAAAUGUAACAUACUGCUGGAUCUGUGCUCCCGUGUGAAGGACUAUGAGACUAAAACAGGUCUGAGUGUCCUUCCAGCAUUAGAGUCAGUAUUUUCAGCUCCUGCAGUCUGGAUCAUAGACCUCUCAGAGAGAAAGACCUCCAUCCUCCUGGAAGUGCUGAAACUCCAACCAGAGAAGAAACAAGUGGAGCUGAGAGACUGCUCACAUGAAGAGAGUGAAGUGAGGAGUUUGCUGCAGUGCCUGCCUUUUAUCUCACAGCUCAGGUACAUGGAAAUUUUCUUCACAUGAGUCAAAUAUCUGUAAGAAAAGAUGUGCUGUGAAAAUAAGUGAUGGAAAUAUUUGAAGGUCCAUAAAUUGUAAAGUGAUAAUUUUGAUUUGUGGUUAUUUUCUGUAAAUGUCAGAUGACCUUUAAUGCUGAAACAGGACAAUAGGAUCUAAA